CUGCCACCAACCACUAAUCCCAGAUCUCCUCAGCCUUCUUGUAUUCCUCUUUCUCCUCAAUUGUCUCCUCCCACACAUGUUAUUACCUCCUGAAUCCCCUAUUUGAUACCCUUCAUCUCUGGUAUCAAAACCACCGUUGAUUAUUUUAGGCGGCGACGGAGGAAAAUAUCUUUGAAUUCCAUCUUCGUUAUCUCCUUCUUAGGAUGGAUUAUCAACAAGAGUGGUGGUUGGUAACUUCAUCGGAGGAGUCUCUUUUCUUGUGAUAGUGAUUUUGGUUUUUAUUUGUAAGAAGAAACGAAAAAGCGACGAUAAGUUGGAGGACUUUACGAUGGACAUCAACAAAAUGGCGGCAACAAAAUGCAAUUCCGCCGUAAGAUCAUGUUCUGAUGUCGUCACCACCACCACGUAAGCCUCCAUCUCCACCACCGCCUUUUAUGAGCAGAAGCGGCAGCUCCAACUACUCAGAUUGUCUAGAACUUUCUCCACUCUUUCCAUGGCUUGUGCUACGCUUCUCCAAAGCACUUUCACAUAAGAGGAGUUAGCUAGAGCCACCAAUGGCUUAUCUGAGGCAAACUUGUUAGGACAAGGCAAGUUUGGUUACGUACACAAAGGUGUGUUCCCUAGUGAGAAAAAGUUGUUGUGAAAUAGUUGAAAGUUGGGAGUGGACCGAGUGGUCAGAGAUAAAGAGAGUUUCAUGCAGAGGUGGAUGAAAGCUAGAAAAAUGCUUGGGUCCAUUGUGCAUUGUACAUAAUAUCCAUGUAACCUUUUUGAAAUGUGUCCAUUGUACAUAUUUCAUGUGUACAUCAAUCUCAUAGUGUACAUAUGUACACAUAUAUACAUUUUUAACA